rnacentral:rRNA from 1 species
UACGUAGGGUGCGAGCGUUAAUCGGAAUUACUGGGCGUAAAGCGUGCGCAGGCGGUUUUGUAAGACUGAUGUGAAAUCCCCGGGCUCAACCUGGGAACUGCAUUGGUGACUGCAAGGCUUGAGUGUGUCAGAGGGAGGUGGAAUUCCGCGUGUAGCAGUGAAAUGCGUAGAUAUGCGGAGGAACACCGAUGGCGAAGGCAAUCCCCUGGACCUGUACUGACGCUCAUGCACGAAAGCGUGGGGAGCAAACAGG